UACGAAGGGGGGCUAGCGUUGCUCGGAAUCACUGGGCGUAAAGGGUGCGUAGGCGGGUCUUUAAGUCAGGGGUGAAAUCCUGGAGCUCAACUCCAGAACUGCCUUUGAUACUGAAGAUCUUGAGUUCGGGAGAGGUGAGUGGAACUGCGAGUGUAGAGGUGAAAUUCGUAGAUAUUCGCAAGAACACCAGUGGCGAAGGCGGCUCACUGGCCCGAUACUGACGCUGAGGUGCGAAAGCGUGGGGAGCAAACAGGGAUUAAGAU
rnacentral:rRNA from 1 species